CCAUGGCUUUGCAGAGCGUUCUGGAAGCACUGUGGCUGGAGCUCCUCCUCAGCUCUCUCUGGAAUGUUGCAGAGAGCAAGGACCGAGUAUUUCAGCCUUCCACUGUGGUCUCUUCAGAGGGUGCUCUGGCAGAAAUCUCCUGUAAUCACUCUAUAUCCAGUGCUUACAACUUCUUCUGGUACCUUCACUUCCCAGGAUGUGCACCAAGACUCCUUGUUCAGGGCUCAAGGCCUUCUCAGCAGGGACGGUACAACAUGACAUAUGAGCGGUUCUCUUCAUCACUGCUUAUCCUCCAGGUGCAGAUGGCAGAUGCAGCCAUUUACUACUGUGCUCUGGAGGACACAGAGGCAGGGAAUCCAUGA